rnacentral:rRNA from 1 species
AGUGGGGAAUUUUUCGCAAUGGGGGAAACCCUGACGAAGCAACGCCGCGUGGAGGAUGAAGGUCUUCGGAUUGUAAACUCCUGUCGACCGGGACGAAUGCACUCGACCUAACACGUCGGGCUGUUGACGGUACCGGUGGAGGAAGCCACGGCUAACUCUGUGCCAGCAGCCGCGGUAAUACAGAGGUGGCAAGCGUUGUUCGGAAUUACUGGGCGUAAAGGGCGCGUAGGCGGCCUUGUAAGUCUCGUGUGAAAGCCCUCGGCUUAACUGAGGAUCUGCACGGGAUACUGCGAGGCUCGAGUUCGGGAGAGGAAAGCGGAAUUCCGGGUGUAGCGGUGAAAUGCGUAGAUAUCCGGAGGAACACCAGUGGCGAAGGCGGCUUUCUGGACCGACACUGACGCUGAGGCGCGAAAGCUAGGGGAGCAAA